GCCAUGGCGCAUGCCUGUAGUCCCAGCUACUCGGGAGGCUGAGGUGGGAGGACCACUUGAGCCCAGGAGUUCUGGGCUGUAGUGUGCUAUGCUGAUCGGGUGUCCACACUAACUUCGGCAUCAAUAUGGUGACCUCCCAGGAGCGGGGGGACCACCAGGUUGCCUAAGGAGGGGUAAACAGGCCCAGGUCGGAAAUGGAGCAGGUCAAAACUCCUGUGCUGAUCAGUAGUGGGAUCGAGCCUGUGAAUAGCCACUGCACUCCAGCCUGGGCAACAUAGCAAGACCACGUCUCU
rnacentral:SRP_RNA from 1 species